rnacentral:rRNA from 1 species
UACGUAGGGUGCGAGCGUUAAUCGGAAUUACUGGGCGUAAAGCGUGCGCAGGCGGUUUGUUAAGACAGAUGUGAAAUCCCCGGGCUUAACCUGGGAACUGCAUUUGUGACUGGCAAGCUAGAGUAUGGCAGAGGGGGGUAGAAUUCCACGUGUAGCAGUGAAAUGCGUAGAGAUGUGGAGGAACACCGAUGGCGAAGGCAGCCCCCUGGGCCAAAACUGACGCUCAUGCACGAAAGCGUGGGGAGCAAACAGG